rnacentral:rRNA from 1 species
UGGAAGUAAAAAGUCGUAACAAGGUUUCCGUAGGUGAACCUGCGGAAGGAUCAUUAACAGGAAAAGGGUACCCUCGCGGUCCCGAUUCUCAAACCACUGUUUACCAAACGUUUCGUUGCCUCGGCGGGCCGGCACUGGCUCGACUGGCGCCCCUCCUUCGGGAGGAGCAGCCCGCCGCAGGACGCUACAAAACCAUUCUGUUCGAAGAACGUCUGAUUUUACCUUCGCGAAUGCGAUAAAUACAACUUUCAACAAUGGAUCUCUUGGCUCCAGCAUCGAUGAAGAACGCAGCGAAAUGCGAUAACUAGUGUGAAUUGCAGAUUUCAGUGAAUCAUCGAGUCUUUGAACGCACAUUGCGCCUCUUGGUAUUCCUCGAGGCAUGCCUAUUCGAGCGUCGUUUCGACCCUUAAGCGCAAGCUUAGUGUUGGGGACCGCCCCUGAAAUAUGGAGGCGGCCCUUGAAUCCAUCGGCGGUGCCGGUGCAGCCUGGAGCGCAGCAGCAAUGCAGCUUUAAGCAGCCCGAAGCCUGCCGGACAAACGAAACUUCAUUUUUUCUCACGUCG